GACGAACGCUGGCGGCGUGCUUAACACAUGCAAGUCGAACGGUAAGGCCCUUCGGGGUACACGAGUGGCGAACGGGUGAGUAACACGUGGGUGAUCUGCCCUGCACUUCGGGAUAAGCCUGGGAAACUGGGUCUAAUACCGGAUAGGACUCCUGGCUUCAUGGUUGGGGGUGGAAAGCUUUUGCGGUGUGGGGUGGGACCGCGGCCUAUCAGCUUGUUGGUGGGGUAAUGGCCUACCAAGGCGACGACGGGUAGCCGGCCUGAGAGGGUGACCGGUCACACUGGGACUGAGAUACGGCCCAGACUCCUACGGGAGGCAGCAGUGGGGAAUAUUGUACAAUGGGCGCAAGCCUGAUGCAGCGACGCCGCGUGAGGGAUGACGGCCUUCGGGUUGUAAACCUCUUUCAGCUAUGACGAAGCGCAAGUGACGGUAGUAGCAGAAGAAGGACCGGCCAACUACGUGCCAGCCGCCGCGGUAACAC
rnacentral:rRNA from 1 species